CGGGGGCUUGGUGCCAGCCGACCUCGCUUCCGUAAGGUUCCCCUGGCCCUCGGUACCCAUCUCCGUGCAGAGCCGAGGCCGGGGCCUUUGACUGGUGCCUUUGAAGAAACUGCUCGCGUGCCCAAGCACGCGGAGAGCGGUCUCUGUUUCUCAUUGGUUCCCAGGGCCGUCCGUCUAGGCCAUUUUCGCCUCUGAUUGGUUUCCUAAAAAAAGAGGUUGCGCUUUCCCUUCAGCGGUUGGCUCGCACAGGUUUCGGUGGGAACGUGCUCUUGGACUCGUACCUAGAAGAGCCAGAGGCACCCUGUGAUGUCUCAGCAGGUGGGACGCCAUUCUGGGCUUUUCAGAACCCAGGGCAUGGAAGUCUGCAAGAGAGUCUCACUCGUCCACGGAUUCAUUGGGAUAUGCAGGUGGGAGGAGAUUUUCCAACUUCUGUUUGUGAUCACCUGUUUGCGCUGCUCGGAUGCCCUGGAGGGAAUGAUAAAGAUCUGCAGGAAUGCCCUCUCUCCUCCCUUCCACCAAAACACAUCUGAACAGAAAAUUCAGGUUCGGUGAGGAAGCCAUAGAGCAGUCAGACAUCAUUUCUCGAAGUGUAAAUUUUUUAACAGUCGCCUUGGGGUUCAAAAGUGCACCUAAUCUCUUCUGCUACCAAAGUCUGGAAGUGGUCAUUCCGUGGCUGAGCCAUUCCACAUCCUGCAGAGAUGAGUUCACAAGCUUGCAAGGGAAAGUGCUGGAAAUGCAGAACAGCAGUAUAGGCAAAUCCCUUAUGAUGGCUAUUCUUGAUUGUCGACUUGACUAUGACUGGAAUGAACUAUAAUCCAGAAAUGGAGGGCACACUUGUGAUCCGGAUCUUGAGGCAAGAAGACAACACGCCUUUGAUCCGGAUCUUGAGGCUAGAAGGGACACUCCUUUAAUCCAGACCUUGAGGCUGGAUGGCACACCUUUAGUCUGGGCCACACCUUCUGGGGGAAGCCUAUGGAAAGACAAUGGAAGAAGGAAGGGUCUGUUCUUCACCUGCUUGCCCUCACCUGGUCAGCACAUCCAUUCCUUCUUUUGGAUCCCAGCAGACCAGCUGAGACACCCAGCCUUGUGGGACAGAGCAGCAGCUACUAGAUUCUUGGACUUUCCAUUCAUAACUAGCCAUAGUUGGAAUGCAGCCUGUAAGCCAUUUUAAUAAAUUCCUAUAUAUAUCUAUAUAUUCAUUCUGUAUGAAUCCCCCAUAUAUAUAAUAUAUAUAUGUAUUGUAUAUAUUUAUUCUGUAAGUUCUGUGAUUCUAGAGAACCCUGACUAAUACACCCUUCAAGCUGGAAAACAUGCGGAUGCCACCCCCCAGUAGAGUGGAGGAUUGAACUGUGGAAUAUUCACCCCAGGGACCACCACACAACAGUGAGACUGAGCGAGCCACUGUGAUGCAGAGGAAACAGGGCCACCCCUCCCCCCACAGUGUUAUUCCACAAACACACAGACAAGAAACCGGCAAAACUGAGUAAGGGUGCUGGAUGCAGGGAGGCACCUUCGGUCUGGUGGGGGAGUGGCCGGAAGAGGCCUGCAGGGCUUCUGGGGUUCUGGUCCCGGUGGAAUCUGCCAGGUGCUGACUACACAAGUAAAUUCUGCUCACAGACAUCUGUUACUUGGUUACUUAUGAUUUGAAUAUUUUGCAUUAGCCUCUCUCUCUCUCUCUCUCUCUCUCUCUCUCUCUCUCUCUCUCUCUCUCUCUCUCCUCUGUGUGUGUGUUUUAAUAGAAAAAUUAAAAAAAAAAGUAAUCUCAAGAAAAAUUCCAGUCUGGGUAUGGUGGCUCGUGCCUAUGAUCACAAUUCUUAGGAGGCUGAGUCAGGAUCACCAGGAGUUUGAAACUAGCCUGGACUACACAGUGAAUUUCAGGCGGCUGGGACACAGAGUAAGACUGUUUCAAAACAAACAAACUAAAAAACCAACCAAACAAACAAACAAAACGAACAAAAAAUCAGAUUGCUUGUGAUGAAACCCUUUGGGUCGUUCUGGGUGUCUGAUCACGAAUGUCAAUUUAUCUGAAUCAAUCAUUUGUUUUGUUUUUGUAUUCCAGUUAGAAGCGAAGACUGACUCUGAAAAUAUGCCUUUGUCGCCACCAAGUGGCUGCAUGUGGGAUUGCAGUAGUAGAGAAUUUACGCGGGUUUCGAAUAAAACAGAGUCGGAAAAGUU